rnacentral:rRNA from 1 species
GACGAACGCUGGCGGCGUGCCUAAUACAUGCAAGUAGAACGCUGAAGGAGGAGCUUGCUCUUCUGGAUGAGUUGCGAACGGGUGAGUAACGCGUAGGUAACCUGCCUGGUAGCGGGGGAUAACUAUUGGAAACGAUAGCUAAUACCGCAUAAGAGUAGAUGUUGCAUGACAUUUACUUAAAAGGUGCAAUUGCAUCACUACCAGAUGGACCUGCGUUGUAUUAGCUAGUUGGUGGGGUAACGGCUUACCAAGGCGACGAUACAUAGCCGACCUGAGAGGGUGAUCGGCCACACUGGGACUGAGACACGGCCCAGACUCCUACGGGAGGCAGCAGUAGGGAAUCUUCGGCAAUGGACGGAAGUCUGACCGAGCAACGCCGCGUGAGUGAAGAAGGUUUUCGGAUCGUAAAGCUCUGUUGUAAGAGAAGAACGAGUGUGAGAGUGGAAAGUUCACACUGUGACGGGAUCUUACCAGAAAGGGACGGCGAACUACGU